rnacentral:rRNA from 1 species
CACUUUUUUUUUUUUUAGCUUUUCAGGUUCGUAGGUGAACUGCGGGAAGGAUCAUUA